rnacentral:rRNA from 1 species
UACGUAGGCAGCAAGCGUUGUUCGGAGUUACUGGGCGUAAAGGGUGCGUAGGCGGCCCUGUAAGUAUGGUGUGAAAUCUCCCGGCUUAACUGGGAGGGUGCGUUAUAGACUGCGGGGCUCGAGUGUGGGAGAGGAAAGUGGAAUUCCUGGUGUAGCGGUGGAAUGCGCAGAUAUCAGGAAGAACACCAACGGGCGAAGGCAGCUCGCUGGGACGGUACUGACGCUGGAGGACGCGAAAGCGUGGGGAGCGAACAGG